CCUACGGGUGGCUGCAGUGGGGAAUAUUGGACAAUGGGGGGAACCCUGAUCCAGCCAUGCCGCGUGUGUGAAGAAGGCCCUCGGGUUGUAAAGCACUUUCAGUGAGGAAGAACGCCUGGUGGUUAAUACCCAUCAGGAAAGACAUCACUCACAGAAGAAGCACCGGCUAACUCCGUGCCAGCAGCCGCGGUAAUACGGAGGGUGCGAGCGUUAAUCGGAAUUACUGGGCGUAAAGCGCGCGUAGGUGGCUUGAUAAGCCGGUUGUGAAAGCCCCGGGCUCAACCUGGGAACGGCAUCCGGAACUGUCAAGCUAGAGUGCAGGAGAGGAAGGUAGAAUUCCCGGUGUAGCGGUGAAAUGCGUAGAGAUCAGGAGGAAUACCAGUGGCGAAGGCGGCCUUCUGGACUGACACUGACACUGAGGUGCGAAAGCGUGGGUAGCAAACAGGAUUAGAUACCCCGGUAGUC
rnacentral:rRNA from 1 species